rnacentral:tRNA from 1 species
GGUAAGAUGGCUGAGUAAAGCAUUAGACUGUAAAUCUAACCACAGAGGUGUAAGACCUCUUCUUAUCA